rnacentral:rRNA from 1 species
GAUGAACGCUGGCGGCGUGCUUAACACAUGCAAGUCGAACGGAAAGGCUCCUGCUUGCAGGGGUACUCGAGUGGCGAACGGGUGAGUAACACGUGGGUGAUCUGCCCCGCACUUCGGGAUAAGCCUGGGAAACUGGGUCUAAUACCGGAUAGGACGAUGGUUUGGAUGCCAUUGUGGAAAGUUUUUUCGGUGUGGGAUGAGCUCGCGGCCUAUCAGCUUGUUGGUGGGGUAAUGGCCUACCAAGGCGUCGACGGGUAGCCGGCCUGAGAGGGUGUACGGCCACAUUGGGACUGAGAUACGGCCCAGACUCCUACGGGAGGAAGCAGUGGGGAGUAUUGCACAAUGGGCGAAAGCCUGAUGCAGCGACGCCGGGUGGGGGAUGACGGCCUUCGGGUUGUAAACUCCUUUCGCUAGGGAAGAAGCGCAAGUGACGGUACCUGGAGAAGAAGCACCGGCUAACUACGU